GCCAACUCAUUUUGUUAGAGGUUAGGGUUAGAGGUUAGUUUUGUACACGCAAAAUCUAUUUUAUAUAAGUGUCUAGUCAUUUGAGGUUUAGCUAGAAUAUUUCAUUACUGGUCGUUCGUGCUUACAUCUAACGGUUCUUAGCCAAGGAAAUGGUUAGUUACGAAAAAGGAAGGAGAUUCCACUUCAAUGUUUUUGGAGUUUCAAAAUUUUCUAUAAAAGGGGAUGAGUGGAGUCCUUCAUAGAACGAAAAUAAGUUAGCAAAUUUGACGAUGUAUUGCUGGGAUCACCUUGCAAAAUCACUUUGCUCCACACAAAAUAAGUAUAAUUAAUUAGGUAAUGUAAUAAUUAAUAAAUUAACUUGAAUUUAUUGUGUUAUGUCCCUUUUAUAAUAUUUUUCAAUAAAUUGUUCAAAAAC